rnacentral:rRNA from 1 species
AGUGAACGCUGGCGGCGUGCCUAAUACAUGCAAGUCGAACGAAGUGGCGCACGGGUGAGUAAUAUAUAGUUAAUCUGCCCUACACAGAGGAACAACAGUUGGAAACGACUGCUAAUACCUCAUAGUGUAGGAUGAGACUAUAUCGUAUCAGCUAUUUGGUAAGGUAAUGUCUUACCAAGGCUAUGACGCGUAACUGGUCUGAGAGGAUGAUCAGUCACAUUGGAACGGAGACACGGUGCAAACUCCUACGGGACGCAGUAGGAAGGAAUAUUGCGCAAUGGGGGAAACUCUGAUGCAGCAACGCCGCGUGCGGGAUGUCGGUCUUCGGGUUGUAAACCGCUUUCAGCCAUGACGCGGUAGUUGCAGAAGAAGCACCGGCUAACUACGUGCCGGCCGCCGCGGUAAUAC